rnacentral:rRNA from 1 species
UACGAGGGGGGCAAGCGUUGUUCGGAUUUAUUGGGCGUAAAGGGCGCGUAGGCGGUGCUGUAAGUCUGUGGUGAAAUCUCUGGGCUCAACUCAGAGUCUGCCAUAGAAACUGCAGUGCUGGAGUGUGGGAGAGGUGAGUGGAAUUCCCGGUGUGAGCGGUGAAAUGCGUGAGAUAUCGGGAGGAACACCGGUGGCGAAGGCGGCAUCCUGGACCGGCAUUGA